CCCAGCGCAACCACCACCGCUUUCUCGCAAAGAAAAGCUCCAACUGAGACGAAUGCAAAAUGUUGCCAGGGGACUGAUGAUGUUUAAACGAGGCAUGAUAGUGACUUUUAUCGGACUGUUUAGUUACAAACUAUACCAUCACACCAAAACUCCUGAUUACCAGUCUUUCAAGGCGAGGAGAAAAUUUAGAAUUCAGUCAGAAACCAAAGAUCCUGAUGUGGAGCGGUUAUACGAACUAGAAAAGAAAGAAAAAGAGAUGAAGGAGCGGAACACUGGCAAAAUUGAAGCAGAAAUUGUUUGAAUUGCGCACAGGAGCUUGAUGUAAAAUACAUGUAGUCUUUAACUGUCUUUGGAUGAAGUCGAUGUAAUAACCUGGGUGCUAGCUUCUUGUCACUGCAUGGACGGUGUCAGCUUGUGCAGUAGUGGCUAGUGAAAUAGAUCAACAUGCUGCAUAAAGGGGUUUAUGGUCUAGGGAACUAUAAUUUCCCUGGCAGAACAUGCAAAUAUUCAGAGACAGUUUCUUUGUAUUCUAUUCGAUGAUAGACACAACACAUUUUUUAAUUGGUCUACAAAAAUGUGAAGAUUCGUCUCCAUGUAUUCAUGUCUGUUGACUUCUAUUCAAAGGAAAUCAAGAAGAUUCAAAACAAAGGUUACUGAAUACCAGCUCGUCUACUGAAGUUCCUUGGAUGACAGGAUUGUGAAACAUAAAUAAAACGGAACUAGGCCUCGCAAACACAUGUACAUGUAUUUCUUUAAUUCAUGGCCUUGCCAAUACCACAUCAGCUUGAAAUUGGAAUGUUCAGAUUUUUGUACAUAUUGUUAAUAUAACAUUUGGUGUGUUUUACUGUAAAUAAAGGAUGAUUUAUUAAUGAA